AUUGAACGCUGGCGGCAGGCCUAACACAUGCAAGUCGAGCGAGCGGCGGACGGGUGAGUAAUGUCUGGGAAACUGCCUGAUGGAGGGGGAUAACUACUGGAAACGGUAGCUAAUACCGCAUACCAUCAGAUGUGCCCAGGUGGGAUUAGCUAGUAGUGGGGGUAACGGCUCAACUAGGCGACGGUCCCUAGCUGGUUUGAGAGGAGGACAAGCCACACUGGAACGGAGACACGGUCCAGACUCCUACGGGAGGAAGCAGUGGGGAAUAUUGCACAAUGGGCGCAAGCCUGAUGCAGCCAUGCCGCGUGUGUGAAGAAGGCCUUCGGGUUGUAAAGCACUUUCAGCGGGGAGGCGUUACCCGCAGAAGAAGCACCGGCUAACUCCGUGCCAGCAGCCGCGGUAAUAC
rnacentral:rRNA from 1 species